rnacentral:lncRNA from 1 species
CCAGGCCAAAGGUUGGAGAGCAUGACAGAGAGAGUAGGGCAAGGAUGAGCUGGGACUUUGAUGGAGGCUGUCACGCAGACUUGAAGAGCAUCAUAGGAACAAGCCCAUGGACAUUUCCCUGAAGAUGAAGGACCAUAACACCCCAUACAGUCUUUCAUAGGCUGGUCCAUGAAUGAAGGCUGUCUGAAAGUCUCAUGGAGGAUAAGGGGUCUCCAGUUUCUCAAGUUUCUAAGAAAAUGGUCUUAAUUGUGAAGUAAUUGUGUCAGUGAUGUGGAUGAGCCACCAGGAGUGAAGACAGCCCACCGAGGCCUUGCUUGGAUGGCCAACAAGAGCGAUGUCAUUUCACCUAGUAUUUCACAAAUAUCGGUGGAAGCCCACCCACCCACUUUUCCUUCUUCUGUUUCUUGGAUGAAGCCUUAAGAUGGAUUCCUAGUAGAGAUGGAAUGGGGCAGACAGAGGGCACAGGUUGCACAGACUAGUGAGAUAACCGUCUGGGCUGCAGCUUGAGGAUUUGGAGGAUCAUCUGACUACGAAAGGGAAUGUGCCAGAUAGCUAUCAAAGCUUCAAGUGAAGAAAGUCACAGCCUGGGAACAAACUUGCCAAACAGAACCUAACACCUCAAAGUAAAUCUUGUACAAAUGAUUAAGUGGCAUACUUCUGAGGUCAAGGGAACUGGUGGUGCCUGCACCUCUCACUAAACAAUAAUAACAACCUCCCGCCCCUGGGCAGAGAUUAUUAGUUUGCAAAAUUCCAGGUACAUGGCCUUGUUUCUUAGAAACAAGACUUUUACAUGAAGCAAAACCACUGGGAAAUGAUGGCUAUUUUUAUGUGCAUUGAAAGGAAGAGAUCCCAAG